rnacentral:rRNA from 1 species
UACGUAGGGUGCGAGCGUUAAUCGGAAUUACUGGGUGUAAAGGGUUCGUAGGCGGUGUGGCAAGUCGGGAGUGAAAUCUCUGGGCUCAACCCAGAGUCUGCUUCCGAAACUGCUGUGCUUGAGUGUGGGAGAGGCGCGUGGAAUUGCAGGUGUAGCGGUGAAAUGCGUAGAUAUCUGCAGGAACACCCGUGGCGAAAGCGGCGCGCUGGACCACUACUGACGCUGAGGAACGAAAGCUAGGGGAGCAAACAGG